rnacentral:rRNA from 1 species
CUACGUGCCAGCAGCCGCGGUAAUACGGAAGGUUCUGGUGUUAUCCGGAUUUAUUGGGUUUAAAGGGAGCGUAGGCCGGAGAUUAAGUGUGUUGUGAAAUGUAGACGCUCAACGUCUGACUUGCAGCGCAUACUGGUUUCCUUGAGUACGCACAACGUUGGCGGAAUUCGUCGUGUAGCGGUGAAAUGCUUAGAUAUGACGAAGAACUCCGAUUGCGAAGGCAGCUGACGGGAGCGCAACUGACGCUUAAGCUCGAAGGUGCGGGUAUCGAACAGGAUUAGAUACCCUGGUAGUCCGCACAGUAAACGAUGGAUGCCCGCUGUUGGUACCUGGUAUCAGCGGCUAAGCGAAAGCAUUAAGCAUCCCACCUGGGGAGUACGCCGGCAACGGUGAAACUCAAAGGAAUUGACGGGGGCCCGCACAAGCGGAGGAACAUGUGGUUUAAUUCGAUGAUACGCGAGGAACCUUACCCGGGCUUGAAUUGCAGAGGAAGGAUUUAGAGAUA